AUUGAACGCUGGCGGCAGGCCUAACACAUGCAAGUCGAACGAGUGGCGGACGGGUGAGUAAUGUCUGGGAAACUGCCUGAUGGAGGGGGAUAACUACUGGAAACGGUAUCUAAUACCGCAUACCAUCAGAUGUGCCCAGAUGGGAUUAGUUUGUUGGUGGGGUAAGGGCACGCCAAGGCGACGAUACCUAGCUGGUCUGAGAGGAUGACCGGACACGCUAGAACUGAGGAAAGGUCCAGACUCCUACGAGGGGCAGCAGUGGGGAAUAUUGCACAAUGGGAGCAAGCCAGAUGCAGCCAUGCCGCGUGUAUGAUGAAGGCCUUCGGGUUGGAAAGUACAUUCAGCGGGGAGGCAUUACCCGCAGAAGAAGCACCGGCUAACUCCGUGCCAGCAGCCGCGGUAAUUC
rnacentral:rRNA from 1 species